rnacentral:rRNA from 1 species
UAAGACGUAGGGAGCGAGCGUUGUCCGGAUUCAUUGGGCGUAAAGAGCGCGUAGGCGGUUUGGUAAGUCGGAUGUGAAAACACGAGGCUCAACCUCGUGCGUGCAUCCGAUACUGCCCGACUAGAGGUAGGUAGGGGAGAUCGGAAUUCCUGGUGUAGCGGUGGAAUGCGCAGAUAUCAGGAGGAACACCGGUGGCGAAGGCGGAUCUCUGGGCCUUACCUGACGCUGAGGCGCGAAAGCUAGGGGAGCGAACAGGAUUAGAUACCCUGGUAGUCCUAGCCGUAAACGUUGGGUGCUAGGUGUGGGAGGACAUUGACCCCUUCCGUGCCGAAGCUAACGCAUUAAGCACCCCGCCUGGGGAGUACGGCCGCAAGGCUA